rnacentral:tRNA from 1 species
GUGGCCUAGUAGAUAGGGCACUAAAUUGCAACUUAGGAGACCAGGGUUCUAGUCCCUGC